rnacentral:misc_RNA from 1 species
CCCUUGUAAUACAAUGGACCUACAAGUUCAUAUAGGUUAAAAAAAAUUCUCAAUCCUUCACUGCUGGAAUAUUUAGUUUUAAACAAUAAUCAAUCUGCUUUUUAAUUAUUUACAAUCUUUAGACCAGUUACAGGAUUAAUCAGCGGGCCGGAUAUAUUUGAACCAGUCAUGUUCAGCCAAGCAAUCAAAAGGAAGCAUAUAAAGGUUCACAAACAAGAAACGAGGUCUUACCAUUAGGAUCUGAGCAGAACAAACCAAAUUCCCCAUCAGAGCAUGGAUCGUCCACGUAGCCGACCAUUAGAAAACAAAGGGGGAAAAAAGUCUUAGCAAGAGAAUAAUAAUAUUUAAAUUACACAAAAAUAAAAUUUAAAGCACAUUUAAUUAAAAUUUAAAUAUAAAUUUUAAAGAUAAUUUUAAUAUUAUUAAAUUAAAACUUAUUAAUAUUUAACAUACACGCACACUUUUUGCACGUGAGAAUUAUGCAACAUCUUCUUGGGUUACUAUUCUUUUUACUAGACAUUAAUAGAAAUAAAUCACAAUAUAAAUAGAUUGCGAGUGAUUUAGAUUUGAAUUUUAUUUAUUUAUUUUUUUUAAGAAAAGGCUGAGUAGGACGUGUGUGAUGCAUCUACUCUACGUAUCUUUGAAACACACAAAUUGUAUGGGAAACUCUAAAAUUCGUCAUCGCCACAUAAGCAUAUCAAUCGUUUAAAGAGACAUGGUGGGUCCUACUCCUACGUAUGGUGCCGAAAGGCCUUUCCAUUAUUAAUGCCAUGCGAAGCCUGCUUUUUAAAUUCUCUAAUUUCUUGUCUGUAAAUUAAUUUUUUUAUAAGAACUUAAUUUAAUUAAUUUUUUUAUUUAAAAAUUUAGUAUGGGAAAGAAUUUAAUUUAAAAAAUAAUAUAAUUAUAUAAUAAAUAAAUUAUUUUUUUAUAAAUAAUCUUUUCUAAAAAAAGUCCCAAAUUUAUUCCUAUUUUUUCAACUAUUGCUUUAAUUAAAAAAUUCUUAAAUAGAUUUAACCAAACAUAUUAUUGUUAUUAUUAUUAGACCGCUCCAAUAAUAUUAUUUCAUAUUAAAAUGGAUAGGAUUUUUCAUUAUUUAUAAUUAUUUUUAAAAAUAAAUUAAUUUACGGAAAUAUUUUUCUAAUUAGAAUAAAAACAAAGAUGAUUAGGCAAGCAAUUCCGAUCAGCACCUUUUGUCCAAAAAGGCAAGGUGGUGGAUCUUAAGCAGCGAAUAAUAAAAAAAUAAUAAUUGAACGUACCAUUCAUCCAGUUCUUUUCAGGUU